GACGAACGCUGGCGGCGUGCUUAACACAUGCAAGUCGAGCGGUAAGGCCCUUUCGGGGGUACACGAGCGGCGAACGGGUGAGUAACACGUGGGUGACCUGCCUCUAGCUCUGGGAUAAGCCCGGGAAACUGGGUCUAAUACUGGAUAUGACUCCAUGACGCAUGUUGUGGGGUGGAAAGCCUUGUGCGGCUAGAGAUGGGCCCGCGGCCUAUCAGCUUGUUGGUGGGGNGAUGGCCUACCAAGGCGACGACGGGUAGCCGGCCUGAGAGGGCGACCGGCCACACUGGGACUGAGACACGGCCCAGACUCCUACGGGAGGCAGCAGUGGGGAAUCUUGCGCAAUGGGCGAAAGCCUGACGCAGCGACGCCGCGU
rnacentral:rRNA from 1 species